AGCACACGUACAUCUGUCUUAACGAAAUGGCAUCAUGUGGCAGGCACAGAAGCGAUGGCAGGAGAAGAUGAAGGGCCUGCUGGAGGAGUGAACACAUCCCACAUUUCUUUAUCCAUGAUUAGAAUCAGGACCGGCACUUGGUACUCAGUAAGCGCCAAGAUUUUCUUGGACAAAUUCAAGGUCUUCUCUCAAUUGUGGUCGGAACUGGACAUUCCCACGAGGACAGUUUCCACUUCCAGUAAUGGCUGAGGAGGUCCUAUUGCAAAUAAUAAUGAGAAACUCUGGACCAAGUAUUUUAGAACCACCACCUGAAAGUAUUGGAGAGUAAGUAAGAGCAGGAUUCCCUCCUGGGCUGUACGGUUUCUGUUGAGAAGUCUGUUGCCAGAUGAAUUGACACUCCUUUAUAUGUUAUUUACUUGUUUUCUCAUGCUGCUUUUAGAAUUUUCUAUUUGUUCUUGACCUUUGAAAAUUUGAUUAUUAUAUGCCCUGGGUUAGUCUUACUUGGAUCAAAUCUGUUUGGUGUUCUUUGACCUUCCUGUACCUGGAUAUGUAUACCUUCCUCAAGUUUUGGGAAUUUUUCUGUUAUUAUAUCUCUAAAAAGCUUUCUACCCCUUGCUGUUGCUCAACUUCCUCUUGAACACCAAUAGUUCUUAGAUUUGACCUUUUGAGUUAAUUUUCUAUAUUUUGUAGGUGACCUUUUAUGUCGUUUUUGUUACUAAACAUAACGUUUGUGAGAUUCAUCCAUAUUGUGC
rnacentral:lncRNA from 1 species